GAGGAUUACACUGUCUCCCCCCCUAAAUCAAUGAAACUGAUCCCCCCGUGAAGAAGCGGGGAUAAAUAUAUAAGACGAGAAGACCCUAUGGAGCUUUAAACUAAACACCACUUACCUUCAACCACUUCCUUACAAACAGGUAAAGAUCGUGUGUGUUUUCAGUUGGGGUGACUGCGGAGCAAAAUAAAACCUCCACGAUGAAACAAUCCUCUAAUCUAAGAACAACGUUUCAAAGAAUCAACAAAUUGACAUAAAUUGACCCAAAUAUUAUUUGAUCAACGAACCAAGUUACCCUAGGGAUAACAGCGCAAUCCAUUUCAAGAGCUCAUAUCGACAAAUG
rnacentral:rRNA from 1 species